AGGCAGCAGUGGGGAAUAUUGGACAAUGGGGGCAACCCUGAUCCAGCCAUGCCGCGUGUGUGAAGAAGGCCUUUUGGUUGUAAAGCACUUUAAGCAGGGAGGAGAGGCUAAUGGUUAAUACCCAUUAGAUUAGACGUUACCUGCAGAAUAAGCACCGGCUAACUCUGUGCCAGCAGCCGCGGUAAUACAGAGGGUGCGAGCGUUAAUCGGAAUUACUGGGCGUAAAGCGAGUGUAGGUGGCUCAUUAAGUCACAUGUGAAAUCCCCGGGCUUAACCUGGGAACUGCAUGUGAUACUGGUGGUGCUAGAAUAUGUGAGAGGGAAGUAGAAUUCCAGGUGUAGCGGUGAAAUGCGUAGAGAUCUGGGGGAAUACCGAUGGCGAAGGCAGCUUCCUGGCAUAAUAUUGACACUGAGAUUCGAAAGCGUGGGUAGCAAACAGGAUUAGAUACCCUGGUAGUCCACGCCGUAAACGAUG
rnacentral:rRNA from 1 species